rnacentral:rRNA from 1 species
GACGAACGCUGGCGGCGUGCUUAACACAUGCAAGUCGAACGGUAAGGCCCUUCGGGGUACACGAGUGGCGAACGGGUGAGUAACACGUGGGUGAUCUGCCCUGCACUUCGGGAUAAGCCUGGGAAACUGGGUCUAAUACCGGAUAGGACCCUGGGAUGCAUGUCCUGGGGUGGAAAGCUUUUGCGGUGUGGGAUGGGCCCGCGGCCUAUCAGCUUGUUGGUGGGGUGAUGGCCUACCAAGGCGACGACGGGUAGCCGGCCUGAGAGGGUGACCGGCCACACUGGGACUGGGAUACGGCCCAGACUCCUACGGGAGGCAGCAGUGGGGAAUAUUGCACAAUGGGCGCAAGCCUGAUGCAGAGACGCCGCGUGAGGGAUGACGGCCUUCGGGUUGUAAACCUCUUUCAGCACCGACGAAGCGCAAGUGACGGUAGGUGCAGAAGAAGGACCGGCCAACUACGUGCCAGCCGCCGCAGUAA